UGGGCUGCUGGGAAUAUGCUGUCUGCCAUUAGGCUGGGAGAUGAGAGUGUUUGCUGGCUUGGAAAAGGAUGAUCCACAGGCCUCUGUCAUGCUGGCAUCUGGAGGGACUUGUCUCCUGGUGAGAAGAGCACAUUGGAUUCCUGUUUUCUGAGAAAAGUAGAAGAUGAAGAGACUCCUCUGAAGUCCAUGGCACACACUUAUGAAUUAAUCUUCCUACAUCACCAGGUAAAAAGUCAAGCUCCAGCAUUCUUACUUCUCGGAUGAAACAACUGAGGUAAAGAAGUUAAAUGAUGCAAUCAGACCACAGAUGCAAGUAAAUGUUAGAGUCAAUAUGAAAGAUCUCCUCUUUACGUAGUAAUAAACCAAAUGUCUUUCAGCACAGCACCUCUCAGUCCCUACCAACUAUGUGCUGAAGAUAGUUAAAUACAGGAUAUUCGCCAGGCAUGAAAAUGCAUUAUAAGACUGGAACCCAAAUAUCCCAGAUUUAUAUUCACAUUUUCAGACAUUGUUCAAGCACAGUGCUAAGGCAAGAGCUGCAGCACAUUUACCACAUGCAUAGUCUCUACAAAAUUGUCAGCCAGCACAACUGUCUCAGGAGUAAGCCUUGCUCAACAGAGCUUUCAAGGAGAGCCCAGAUUUCCCUAUGUUGCUUGAGUCUGAGCUGUUGGAACUGCAUGGAGAAAGGAGAUAUAUGCCGCAAUAUACUGCGGCACUCAGGCUUGUCCCUCCU
ensembl:lncRNA